ACACACACAGACCAGUAAAGAAGCUUUGUAGUAAUCAUACGUGAUGAGUCUGAAGGUCAUCCUGACAACCCCCCCUCCUCCUCCCUCCCCACACCCUACCUCUCAUACACCGCCAUAAUACACGCUCCAGGUGUUUGUAUAAUAAGCAGUGAGGGAGGAGGGAACAUAUGGGGAAGGGAGAGUACCUAGGAUAAGUAGUUCCGUGUCAGGAGAGGAACAGGUGGGUGUGCGUUGAAGAGGAAGGGAAGGUAGAGGAGGAGGAGGAGGAGGAGGAGGAAGAAAAGAAAGGGAAGUAAGAGAGGAGGAGGAGAAUAAGGGGAUACAGUCAAGUAUUUCAAAGGGGUUCCUCAACCAAGAACCGUGUAUCAUGAGGCACCAUCCUAUUAUACAGUCUCGUGAUGACCUCCUUCCCAGCCUUGGUCUCAUUCACAUCGUGCUGAGUGCGUGGGUGGGGCCAGACAGACCAACAGCUGAUACUAUUAUACCCUAUCCUGCCCCACCCGCCUUCACUCAGACGCUUAAUGGCAUUGCUCUACUUUCUGUGUCCCUUGAGUCUGGCGGUCUUCAUCUACUCUACGUCUUCCCUGCGUUCUGUGGUUAUGUGGCUUUGAAUUAUAUGGAAUCUUCCUACAAUGUCUGAUCUGUUGUUCCGAGACUAGCCAACACCGAUGAUCCAGGAAAACGAGUGAGACAAUUUUUGUUCGAGGUUAUCCUUUAAUCUAGUUAACCAAAUUCACGACCUUACAAAAGUAAUCCAAUAAGCCACCAAUUAACCUAAACAUCUCUUUAUCUCUUAAGAGGUGGAUAGCCUUCUAGUUACAAAUUCGAAAUUCAUGGAGCAAAAUAGGCAACAAUAAACAAGUCAGUCAGCUGGGAAGAGAAAAAUCGAGAACGCAUGCACACGUACAAGUCACUUUCAAACUUUUCCAGACCGCCGCAAUUAUAAUCCCACAAACUGUUUUGACUGGCACUACUAUAUACAACCCCAUCCACCCGCUCUCGCCCUGCCCUACCUCAACAGUCAGCCAGUGCCUCUCGCGGCUACUCCCACGCCUGGUAGUCUGCCGCGUCAUCCAGCAUGACCCAGCAUAUCAUGCACCCAUUUAUAUACGCUAAAAAUUCUUGCAACCAGAAAUCGUGUAGGUGGAUUAGAACACUUAUCUUCAAUUUAUCGUAUAAUCAUCUCUGAAAGCGACACACUUAUGUAAAACUAAAUAAGUUUGACAGAAUUUGCCCAUAAGCUCGCACAUCACCUUGCCUUGACCAAAGACUUUUCAAUGAGCACCGGGUUCGCUUCCUUUCAUCGUUUCGCCCUUAAGGUGGCUUGUGAAGAUUAGUUGAACUACCUCGGACCACCAUCGCCGCCGCCGCAAUAAGCACUGCCUGUCACCGUAAUGAGCACAUCACCACUAACUAUGCAAGAUUGAAACGAAUGAAGGAAAAAGUUGCUGCACCUGCCAACUGGUUUCCCCUUCGUCUCUUCCUUCCUCUUUCUCCUCUCGAAAAAAAGUACUUACCUAAAGAAUUAAUACUACGCCCUUGUCCCAUUAUUUCCCGUGUCCUCAGCUCUGGGAGUGGUGACGGUGACUGGGGUAGCGUAUUACUGACUGGAAUAUUUACACAAGGAAAUGCAACGCCCACCACCACCGCCCCAACGCAAUGCCCAUGCUCUUCCACUGUUCCUCCACCGGGCACUGUUGCCAUACCACCACCACCAGAAUCCGCCAGCCACCCACCACCAGCCAGGCAACAACGCGAUCACACUGCCUCUUUAGCUACCCCCCCUUCACCGAUACCACCGCCAACACCGCAUCAUCACCAUCAUCAUUAUUAUUAUCCCAACUUGCUGCUUCCUUAACUAAUACGAAACAAACAAAAAAAUCCAGUGGCGUACCUACUUGGACGCGGUGAACGACACACACACACACACACACAACCUUGGCGGGUAAAAUAGCGGUCAGUCAGCCAGAGGAAUGUAUGAAUGGAAGAGAAAUGUAUUGACGCAGACGAUGAAAAACACACACACACACACACACACACUGAAUUAAUCGUUCCCUACUUUCUAUGCCGAUGUGAUGUCCCUAAAUAGGUAAGAAUAACGACGUAAUAUAAAUGUAUGCUAUUUUUUUUUCUAAUGGCUUUUUAACAUUAACAACAAUAAUAACAAUAACAACAACAACAAUAAUAAUAAUAACAAUAAUAAUAAUAAUAAUAAUAAAAAUGAGAAAGUAGACGAGCAAAAAAUUGGUUCUGAAUUAGGAAAAGUAAAUGUACGAGGAGACAGAUUCAUACGAGAGAGAGAGAGAGAGAGAGAGAGAGAGAGAGAGAGAGAGAGAGAGAGAGAGAGAGAGAGAGAGAGAAACAUAAAGGUGGAUAGGUGCAAACACUACACGGCUUUGUCAAUUAAACUGUUACACGAUUGAAGAGAGGUGACUACAGAUAUAUAGGAAAAGAAUAGAUGUGUGUGUGUGUGUGUGUGUGUGUGUGUUAUCUCCGGGUCACACACUGGCUGGGCCCGAGCAGUGACCCCAUGACCUUUGAUCCGCCCGCCCGUGACCCCCCCACACACACACACUUCUCUCUCUCUCUCUCUCUCUCUCUCUCUCUCUCUCACACACACACACACACACACAGCUCGCCGCCGCCAGACGCCACACUAUGGCUUUUAGACGCCCAACGUUUAAAGGUACUGUCACCAACCGUUGCUGUCACCACCACCACCACUGCCGCCAACACCCCCACAACUAUCACCCCUAAAAGAUAAACAAACAAGUCAGCGUCCCAUCCUGUCACCGCCCCACCCCCCAAAAGAGGAAAAAAUCGCAAAAAUAACAGCAACAGCAGAGGCGGUGGCGAUAGUGUAGUAGUAAUAAUAGUAGAAUAACAUGAUAAUGAUACCUGUUCACUCUAAAUAAAUAUUGCACACAUUUAGAUUACACAAGAAAAAUAAUGUGUGUGUGUGUGUGUGACAAGGUGUGAGUCGGGGGCUCGGCAGAACAGGUGUAUACAAGGGAAGAUAAACAAACGAAAAUUAUCUAAGCGAAGGAGGAAGAGGAAGAAGGCGGAAAGAAGGAUGAACAGGUGGGGAGGAAAGGCACCAAGUGUAAACCACUAAUUUUUGUAUGAAUGAAAGGAGGAAGAUAAAUAAAGGCUGAGAAAGAAGAGCAGGUGGGAGGAUGGGAGGGAGAGGGAGCGGGAGGCAGGGGGUGAGGCAGAUGGCGACACGAAGUGGAAGGGGAAGUGGGAAAUGAGGAAGGGGGAGGAACUCAAAACCAUGGGAGGGAAGAGGGAGGGAAAAUGGGGGUUGGGGGGAGGAACGUGAACAGGUGGCGGCGGUUGUAGUGUAGCUGGAGGAAGCGAGGAAAUGGGGAGGAGGAAAUGACGGAGGAAGGAGGGGCAGAGGGAGGAGGAGGAAAUCACUGAAGCAAAGAGAGAUGAGGAAGAGGAAGAAUGACUGAUAAAGGGUUGGAGAGAGAGACAGAGAGAAACUAGAUCUUACUUCUUCACUGCGGACAAUGCCACCCACCUACCUAACAUCCUCUCUCUCUCUCUCUCUCUCUCUUCCCACGGCUGCUGGAGUAACAAUGACCUUGGUGAGGGCAAAAACUAAGUCCCACGCCCUCACACACACACACACACAGAACUUCCUCGAAAGACACUUAUAUAAUUACCACCACAACCACUACUACUACUACUACUAUUGUUGUUACUAUCUUCAUCCACUACCGGGCCUCAUCCUCUCACCUUUGUUCUGUCAUUCCCGAACACCUGACACGCCAUCAUCCGGGUUUCAAUAAUUCCAUCACUAAACAGAAAGACUAACUGGUGUUGAUAGUACACACACACACACACACACACACACACACAAACACUAGAAAGCCGUGCUACACAAAAUACCGAUUACCUUUUAAGUAAGUAAGGAAAGUCCGUGAAUAAAUGAAGUGAAUCGAGACUAAAAGAAGCAAUACUAAAUAAAACACGCCAGCCUGCCAGCACAAUUCAAUAAAAAAAAAUUGAAUAUCUAUACACAAAGAAAAUAAUGAUAACACAUACCUACAAAACCUCCCGUAGUAACAAGCUAUCAAAGAAGGGGGGGAAAAAAACGCCGUUGACGAGGAAGCGGAUGAGGAGGAAAGAGAAACGAAACAUGAAAGAAAACCAAACAAUAAUGGUGGUGGCUGUGAUGUGGUGGGGCUGGCGAAGAUAAAGAUAGGUAAGGCAUGCGAAUACCACCUUUCUCUCUCUCUCUCUCUCUCUCUCGACACGUACCCCCCCCCGCCCCCCACCCGACCUAGACAAGGCAGGAGACUGAGAGAGCGCCAGACAUCGUACUUUUGACCUUGAAACCGCCCGCCGCCGCCACUGGAGGGAGGGCGGAAGGGAGGAACGGACGGGAGGGCCCUGAGACGGGACGGGCGGAGGAGGGAGGAAGGGAUGGGACGGGAGGUAACGAGGGACGGGACGGGACGGGAGGGAGGAUGGGAAGGGACGGGACGGAGGUAACAGAAGGGAGGGCAGGAGGGACGGGCGGUAGUGAAGCGAGGAGGGAUUGGAGGAGGAAUGGGGGGAGCGAAGGUUAUAGGGGCCAGUGUCGCGUGAAUGUGUAGCGCUGGGGUGUAUACAUGUGGAUUUGUGGGUACGCAUACAUACAUACGGCUGGCAGAGGAUUAAUAACAUUGUAAUAAUGCAUGAGUGUUUGUCGUGGGUAUACUUCUCAAGGAUCUAUUGCGUAUUAGUGUUGAACGCGCAGCUCAGAGGGGCAAUGGGAGGAGUGAGUUGCCAACCCGUGAGCGAGUGACCAGCUACUCCUAACUCCUCUCAUUAUUUUGUGUAGCCUCUUUUCUCCCCUACCUGUCUCCCUGUCCUCUUCCUGUUCCUUGCCGCAGCCUUCACUAGAGAGAGAGAGAGAGAACCAAGGAUGUGACGAGUUAACGUCAUGGUGUGAAUGACCAACCAUUCUCUGAUAAGACUUCCUACUACUACUACUACUACUACUACUACUACUACUACUACCAUUACUAUUACUACUACUACUGUUGAUGCUGCUGCUGUAAGUGCCGUUGUUUAUAUCAUCUUGCUGCAGUGGUGACAGUAGUAGAAGUAGUGGCAGUAGUAGUAAUAGUAUGCGGAUGGUUAGUCAGUCAAGCAUCAACGCUGACUAGGUACUGCCUCAUCUAACACAGAUAAGACGGGGAAUGGGGGGGGGGAGGCAUAACAGGCAUUUUCACGUCCGGCCAGCACAACCCUGGGCCAUCCCCGCCCCAGCCAGCGCCCUAGAAACCUUGCUUACGGUCUAAACAGCUCACGUGCUUCAGAUUCCUCCACCCGCCGUCUUCUCCUUGCCCCCUUGGCUCUCUCCCUAGCGACUAGAAACCAUUACUACGACCACUCCCCUUCCCUCCCUCCUCUGCCUCCUUCCCCCAGGGCAGUGGCAACACGCUGUUCUGAGGGGUAUUAAUAACUUCUCUUAUUUUCAUCCUGUUAUGGUGACGGGAUGGACUCUGCGGUUGACGUCUGUGAGCGUAGUGGUGAGAGGAAAAAACUGUGUUUACGCUAACUUGGUAACUGUGAAUUGUGAGCAGCUGGACUAAGUGACUGACCUAGGCGCCGGUCGCAAUGCAGAAAAUUGGACAGCCUCCCAGCCUGCCUGCCUUGCCAGCCGCCUUGGGCACGCCGAGGUAGAAUGCAAGCUUGCUUUGUCGACUGGGUUCACCAACAAUGCCUUCAGUUGCCUACAGUCACCACGUCCUCCCUCACCUUGCUCAGCUUCUCCCCCUCGUGAUGGGGCAGCAGCGUCUUGAGGGAGGCGAAGCCCGCGUUGAUGCUCUGCAUGCGCCGCCGCUCAUUGCUGUUGGCGAUCUCCCGCCGGAUGCGUUUCUCCUGCUCCAUCGCCGUCUUGGGAGAUACGGGUCGUCCGCUCAGUCUGAGGUGUGAAGUGCAUUCCAACCAACGUCCCGUAAAUGCCUGGUCAUGGUGGGGAAGGAGGAGGAGGAGAAGACUGUGUUGUGUAGGUGGUGGUGGCGGUGGUAGUGAAGAAGGCCAAGAAGAUGAAGAAGACGAAGUAGAAGAAAAAAAAAGUGGAAUUUACAUCCUUCGCGACGCAAAAUUAACUGUCAAGAUGCUGCGAUGAGACAGGAGGAGGAGGAAGAAGGAAGAGGAAGAGGAGGAGGUACAAACACGUGUAGUAACAAGGGAAACAAAUGGUCAGCUGUCAUCUCUUUACUCGCUCUUCCUCUUCCUCCUCCUCCUCCCUUCUGUGGUCCCAGCUGAGAAGUGUAAACCCCCACCACCAUCACGUCUCCCAGGAUCAUCUCUCCACCACCUUCACCACCACUACGACCCGGUGCAAGGUGAAUGAUAAACCUUCUAUCUCCCCUCCUGCUUAACUCCUUUCACCUGCCUCUCCCACGUUUCUCAAGCACUAUUUUUUAUACGUUCCUUGUCACUAUCAUGUAAAAAAAAUCUAUAAAAAAAUACGUCCACGAGGAAGCAGUCUUAUCAAACGUCUUAACAUUCUCGUAAGUGUUAAUACGAGUGAAUGAUUUAAGAGUUCAAUAUUAUCCAUUAUGUAAACCUAAUAAACAUUUUCCUUCCGAUGACGCUUAAGAUGUAAAACUGUAAAUAUUCAUAACUUCAGUAAUAAUAAUAAUAAUAAUAAUAAUAAUAAUAAUAAUAAUAAUACACCUCUCCACGCCACCUGUCAUCCCACUCUCCCUCACCUCUUGUCAUUUUUUUUUCACUCCGUCCCCUCCUUCCACUAACAAUCCACUCCCUCCACCUUCCACACCACCUGUCCCUCCACCAAUCAUCAUAAUGCCCUCCACUACCACCACCAUCACCAUCGACCCCCUUCAUCACCUGUCUCUUCUUUCUCGAAUCAUCUUAAGGCCAACACCACCACCACUUCUCUUCCACCUCCCUCAAGCUACGCACCACCUGCCUGCUUACUACUACUAUUACCACCUACCCCCCCCCCCCCCCGCUCAUCACCUGUCUCUUCUCCCUCUACCAAUCACUUUAAAGGCCUACACCACCACCACCACCACCUGUCCCCAAUCACCCACCACCUCUUCUCUUUCACCUCCCUCAAGCUACGCACCACCUUCCUGGCCACCCACCCACCUGCCUCCCGCCACCACCUGCUCACCUAUCCACCAAUGGCUGCUCAGGUGUGGUGUGGUCGGACCAAUCAGGCGAGAGAGAGAGAGAGAGAGAGAGAGAGAGAGAGAGAGAGAGAGAGAGAGAGAGAGAGAGAGAGAGAGAGAGAGUGUGUGUGUGUGUGUGUGUAUUACGCGGAAAAUAAUGCACGCAGUCAACUCUUUUCCGCCUUUACGAUACUAUUAUUAUUGUCGACGUUAUUGGCACCACCACCACCGCCACUACUACUACUACUACGAUGACUGGACAUUGAAGUCAUCACCCCCCUUCAAGGUGACUAAAGGCGCCAGUCAGUGACCCGCAAGAGAAGGUGUGCGACGCUGGGUGGUGGUGGUGUCAGCUCUCCAGCCCCCCC